UACGUAGGGGGCAAGCGUUAUCCGGAUUUACUGGGUGUAAAGGGGGCGCAGACGGCGAUGCAAGCCAGGAGUGAAAGCCCGGGGCCCAACCCCGGGACUGCUCUUGGAACUGCGUGGCUGGAGUGCAGGAGGGGCAGGCGGAAUUCCUGGUGUAGCGGUGAAAUGCGUAGAUAUCAGGAGGAACACCGGUGGCGAAGGCGGCCUGCUGGACUGCAACUGACGUUGGGGCCCGAAAGCGUGGGGAGCAAACAGG
rnacentral:rRNA from 1 species